AGGAACUUUCGAAAAGCGAUGAUGUUAGGCCACCUCAUUUUGUUAGGUUACAGAUCUUCAGUGCUACAUUUGGGAAAAUAUGCACUCAUACUCCUGUAUUUGGAAAUAUAUUAAGACAAGUUAAGAGUGCAUAUGAUUUGUACACUGAAUACCUUUUGGACGUUCAAUUGUCAGCAAAAUGUGAGAUGUUAGUAUCUGGAAUAAGGGGUAUGGCCAUAAAAGCCGUUAAAACCGAAGAUGUGGAAGUGUCUCUUCAAACAGUGAGAAAACUUGAACAUAAAGCCCAUGCUGUCCUAGAGAAU